GCAAUUCUCCUGCCUCAGUCUCCUGAGUAGCUGGGACUACAGGAGUCCCAGCGUCUCCUGAAGAAAUCCCUUUCCCAUUCAGUCGGCAGCUGCAGCAGGUGGGAUGGCCAGACCAGCCCUCUGGGGAUGCUGAUCCCAGGGAGCAUCCAGGCCGGAAGGUCCAAACAGCAGAGACAGGGUUUCACCAUGCUAGUCUUGAACUCCUGGU